rnacentral:rRNA from 1 species
ACGUAGGGGGCGAGCGUUGCCCGGAAUUACUGGGCGUAAAGGGAACGUAGGUGGCUCUUAAAGUCAGGUGUGAAAAUAACGAAGCUUAACAGGUUAAUGCGCUUGAAACUAAAGGGCUUGAGGGCAAUAGAGGGAGAUGGAAUUACCUGUGUAGGGGUGAAAUCCGCAGAUAUAGGUAAGAAGGCCGGUGGGGAAGCCGAUCUCCUGGGUUGACUCUGACACUGAGGUUCGAAAGCUAGGGGAGCAAACCG